CCCGGAGAAUGUAGAGAGAAACGGGAUGUUGCCGUAACUCUAGCCCUUGAAACAAGGUCACUCACGUCCGUUCAAAUAUGCAGUAUGAAGAUCUUCCGUUAUUACCCAAUUCGUUUCAAGUGGCUCCGACGCCGACCGGACAGCUUUUCCAUUCCGUGAGCCGGUACUGACAGCUUGUAAAUUCUGUAGGUCAUGUGACUAUCUCAACGAAUACUUUUUUGACUUUCCCGUUCGUCCUUCGCAGUCCUUGAUAAAGACGAACAGAGCGAGAGAAAACAGGGGAUUGUUACAGAGUAUAGCGUCAACAUGCGUAGCGGUAGGCUGCUAAAAGGCUACCUUCCUCUUCCGUUACUCAAGACGGUCCGGUUGUUGUGAUGUUUGUUUCUCCGUGGUUGUAGACUCUGAACAGUCUGUGCCGCUAUCUGUUUAGAAUGCGCCGUACAACCUGCUCAGAUAAUGCAUUGUGCUGGUGCCGGUUGGAGUGGGACAAGACAAGUGGGUGACCUCUUGGGGAUAAUGCAACUCCAUAGCCCCCUACCCAUCUCCACUAGUUGAGGACUCCACUGUGACAUCAUCAUCUCCACUAGCUGAGGACUCCACUGUGACAUCAUCAUCUCCACUAGCUGAGGACUCCACUGUGACAUCAUCAUCUCCACUAGCUGAGGACUCCACUGUGACAUCAUCAUCUCCACUACCCCCUACCCAUCUCCACUAGCUGAGGACUCCACUGUGACAUCAUCAUCUCCACUAGUUGAGGACUCCACUGUGACAUCAUCAACUCCACAGCCCCUACCCAUCUCCACUAGCUGAGGACUCCACUGU
ensembl:lncRNA